UGCUAGUCUGGAAUCCAGCCAGCACGGACAGCUGAGGACACAAAGAACUUCUUCAAAAGAGAAAAACAACCAAAUAAAGGUUCCCGCGGGAAUGACUGCCCAUCUCCAGACUCCUGAUAUUGCAAUAAACAAGCUCUUCAAGGACCAUGGAAAUUAUUGACUACAUUGAAAAUAGAAUGGAGGGAAAUCAGCGUGGAAACUCUGUGUGACAGACUGCAAUUCCCCCUCCUUUGCAGCACGGCACUUCUCUCUCUUCCUCUGCUAUUUGAGGCUAACAGCUUCUUUUGUCUGGCCCAGAGCACCCUGGCUCCUGGGACAUUAGAAGAAGGGAGUGCCAAGGCACACUGGGCCGCGCCCAGUGUGGGGGAUGUUUGAGGGCUUCAGGGGCACCCACACUCAGUGUGGGGGGUGCAGAGAAGCUUAUACAAUGCCUACAGUCAGGUCUGAUCAGAUAACAAAACGGGACUCUCGUCGAGACUCCGCCCAUUGCCGCGGGUCUCUUGGAGCACGAGCUUAGCCACUGCCGCCAGGAGAGCCCCCCUCCCCGGGAUGGAGACUCCACUUGCCUCGCCGCCACGGUGGCGAAGGAAGAUGACAGGGUGGAAGAGAAGUACAGAUGCGUGUGACGGGGUGGAAUAAGAUUCACCUAACACCAGCAAGGGAUGGAAGAGCAUCCAGAUGCCUUGGAAACAACACCAACAAUGACAGGGUGGAAGAGGAUCCAGCUAACACCACCAAGCCAUUCAGAAGGAAGGCAGCCACAGGAAUGGAAACACUAACGAACUGUGACUGAUGCUGGGACUCAAUAAUUACCUCGGGCAAUUGUUGAUUGUUGUAAUUACUUCGAUUAUAUUAUUGAUUGUUAUUAAUAACUGUUUGCAGGGGUAAGUCAACAUAUGUCAUAUGGUGAUCCACAGUGGACAUUAAGGCUCACUGGCAGAAGUGUCCCCUUUUACUUUGGAGGCAAGAGGUAGCUGUGAUACCACUCCAGAGUUCUGUCAGACCAUGACUGUAGUCACAGGGUGGGAUUGUGACAGACUGCAAUUCCCCCUCCUUUGCAGCACGGCACUUCUCUCUCUUCCUCUGCUAUUUGAGGCUAACAGCUUCUUUUGUCUGGCCCAGAGCACCCUGGCUCCUGGGACAUUAGAAGAAGGGAGUGCCAAGGCACACUGGGCCGCGCCCAGUGUGGGGGAUGUUUGAGGGCUUCAGGGGCACCCACACUCAGUGUGGGGGGUGCAGAGAAGCUUAUACAAUGCCUACAGUCAGGUCUGAUCAGAUAACAAAACGGGACUCUCGUCGAGACUCCGCCCAUUGCCGCGGGUCUCUUGGAGCACGAGCUUAGCCACUGCUGCCACGAGAGCCCCCUCCCCGGGAUGGAGACUCCACUUGCCUCGCCGCCACGGUGUAAGUAAAACUUCUCGCAGGAUUGCGAGUAUAUUUUCUUUCCGUGCACAUUUGCACAAGUACUUUAUUCCCUCGCACAAUCGCGAGUGGCGGCCGAGAGCCCCUCGCACAAUCGCGAGUAUAUUUUCCUCCCGUGCUUCCACAUAAGCACGUGUAGGAUUCCGUGCACAUUGCACGUGUAAAAUAACUCUCGCAGGACAGCGAGCGUAUUGUAAAUUUACUCUCGCGACAUCGCGAGUGCACACUUUCCGUACUCACUGCGAGUACGUGUAUCUCUAUAAAAAUAAUCCCACACCGUGCUUAGGCAAGUGUGUACUCCUCCGGGACUCGGGGACGGCUCGGGCACUGUUUUGGUGAAGCCACGUGCAUGCACUCUGUGGACCUCCUGUUGUAUUGGUGGCUGCCCCUCUCAAUAAUUUCCUCCACUGAUAUCCGAACCUGUAUUUAAGUCACAUUCGGAGUGCUAAAACCCUGUGCCUUGCUGGUCUAAUAAAAGUUGGUUUUGGACCUUGUGGUCCCUAAAAUUGA